rnacentral:rRNA from 1 species
CACGUAGGCGGACCCGAAAGUUGGAGGUGAAAUCCCAGGGCUCAACCUUGGAACUGCCUUCAAAACUAUCGGUCUGGAGUUCGAGAGAGGUGAGUGGAAUUCCGAGUGUAGAGGUGAAAUUCGUAGAUAUUCGGAGGAACACCAGUGGCGAAGGCGGCUCACUGGCUCGAUACUGACGCUGAGGUGCGAAAGCGUGGGGAGCAAACA